UCGACAAAGUUUAAUAGCAUUUUCACUUUGUUUCUGCAACGUGUAAUCGUCUAAUUAACGAAGGAUUUUUAUGUAAAAAAAAAAAACGUUGCGCGCAAUCUUCGUGGAAAAUAUCGGACCGACAGAAUAUUGCAGGAGGGAUGACGGAAUACUGUUUGUUUGACAGAAAUAAAAUCAUUGACGUCAUCCUCAUGAAUCUUUAUCUUAUUUAUGUAAAAAUAAUUGCUCAAUUUGCUAUCGUUACGAAUUCAGUUUCGCAGAUGCGCGCCGAAGGACAAGUUGAUCGAUCGAACAGUUUAAAAAUCGUGUUCAACGAAAAACUGAAACUUGAUAUGUACAUUUAAUUUAAUGAAAUUUAAUGAAACGUGUACAUAUUCGUUAAAAUGUGAAAUUUGGUCAAAUGUUAACGAUUCUUUCGAACCGGAUACAGACAAGAAGAUUGAACACCCUUUAAAAAAAAGAGCUAACAAGAAGAACAGAGACAAAUAAGACGUAACGUAAACACAGAUAAUGACAAAAUCGUGUCUACAUUUAAUGCGAGUUAAAAAUAUUUUUCGUACAAUUUAAUCGCGUUACGGAUACGAUUAAAUGUGUAUCGAGCAAAUGAUAAAUUAAAUGUGUAUCAAUAUGCAAA